AUGGAUGCUAAGGAAAGAAGGAAACGAAACAGAGAGCGCUAUGCACAGAUGGCCGAUGAAAAAAGAGAGGAAAAACUCAAAAAACACCAUGAAGCCUAUCAACGAAAGAAAGAAAAAAUAUGCUCACAACAAAGGCAGAUAUAUGCAAAAAUGCAGCCGGAACAAAAGAAAGCUAGAAUAGAACAUAUCAAUGAAUUGAAACGCAACACAGCAAGCAAAGACUCCAUUGCACUGGAGAACCCUGCCUAUAUUGCAACUGAAAAAGAAGUUGGUACUUCUACCAUUCCUGAUUACAGAAAGCAUGUCACACCAGGAGAAAGGCAAACAUUGCUACACCGUCGUAACAAAGAAUUCACGACAAGACAGAGGCAUGUAUCAUCGAAACAAGAUGUAUCUAUGAAGGAAACCGGCGACGAUGACACAGAACCUCUACAGCAACCAUAA
rnacentral:rRNA from 1 species